CAUUAAUUCAGAAGCUUGUAAUGGAAUGGAUUCUGAGAGAAAAACGCGGAGCUUACACAGCUAUGUGCCUCCUCUCCACCAUCUUGGCCGGGAAUCUGAAAGUAACACAAAAAAGUGUCAGUACCCAGUGCUCAAUGCUGUGGGGAAAAGAAAAGUACUUUAUGCUCAAUUCUAGUUUCAGUCAUCUCCAUUAAGAAGAAGGGUGACUGACAUGGACAAGGUAGAAGAAACAUGAUCAAGAGGGAGCUGAAGCCCAAAAACAGAGACUUUGGUCCAGAAAAUCAGCACCUGCUAUCCAGACAAGAAUGAUGAGAGCAACUGGGUUUAACAACAAUCUGGAAGCUGGGG